rnacentral:rRNA from 1 species
AGUCGAACGAACUUAAUACAUUCUUUUAGAUUGUAAGCGGUUAGUGGCGGACUGGUGAGUAACGCGUGAGUAACCUGCCUAUUAGAGGGGAAUAACAGUGAGAAAUCAUUGCUAAUACCGCAUAUGCUCACAGUAUCGCAUGAUACAGUGAGGAAAGGAGCAAUCCACUAAUAGAUGGACUCGCGUCUGAUUAGCUAGUUGGUGAGGUAGAGGCUUACCAAGGCGACGAUCAGUAGCCGGACUGAGAGGUUGAACGGCCACAUUGGGACUGAGAUACGGCCCAGACUCCUACGGGAGGCAGCAGUCGGGAAUAUUGCGCAAUGGAGGAAACUCUGACGCAGUGACGCCGCGUAUAGGAAGAAGGUUUUCGGAUUGUAAACUAUUGUCGUUAGGGAAGAAAAAAGACAGUACCUAAGGAGGAAGCCCCGGCUAACUAUGUGCCAGCAGCCGCGGUAAUACAUAGGGGGCAAGCGUUAUCCGGAAUUAUUGGGUGUAAAGGGUGCGUAGACGGGUGUCUAAGUUGGUUGUGAAAUCCCUCGGCUCAACUGAGGAACUGCAACCAAAACUGGAUAUCUUGAGUGUCGGAGAGGAAAGUGGAAUUCCUAGUGUAGCGGUGAAAUGCGUAGAUAUUAGGAGGAACACCAGUGGCGAAGGCGACUUUCUGGACGAUAACUGACGUUGAGGCACGAAAGUGUGGGGAGCAAACAGGAUUAGAUACCCUGGUAGUCCACACUGUAAACGAUGGAU